GCAUAAAACAAGACUCGUGAUAUUCUUCGAGGAUUACAUAUUCUCGGUGCUCCAUACAGUGUCUGGAUCUCUUCUAUGAGAUUCUAUUAAUAACGCCGGUUUCGCGGAUUAAAUUGCGAUCAUAGAUACAGAGGAAAAGUGAAUAUGUAUUCUUGCGCGUAUCAACGGAGUAUUCAUUGACCCUGUUUGAAACAUCGAGCCAGACCUAAUUUCUGCUCCUCGGAUAAUUAAGUGAAGAUGAAAUUUAAUUUGUCCGCCUCAUUUGAUCUGUUGACUAAUUCAUCAUUUUGCUGGCAUAAGGUUUUGUGGACAAUCGAGUUGAUAGUAUGGUUGUCCCAUUAACGUGACUUUUGGAAGAUAUCUUAUCUUGCAUGUUAUCUUCUAAGUGACAUUAUUUUCUUCCUGUAUUUUUCCCUGCAUUGUAUUAUUCUUAGCGUUAUCUUCUG
rnacentral:misc_RNA from 1 species